rnacentral:miRNA from 1 species
CCAAGGAAGGAGGCUGGACAUC